CCUACGGGGGGCAGCAGUGGGGAAUAUUGCACAAUGGGCGCAAGCCUGAUGCAGCCAUGCCGCGUGUGUGAAGAAGGCCUUCGGGUUGUAAAGCACUUUCAGCGGGGAGGAAGGCGGUGAGGUUAAUAACCUCAUCGAUUGACGUUACCCGCAGAAGAAGCACCGGCUAACUCCGUGCCAGCAGCCGCGGUAAUACGGAGGGUGCAAGCGUUAAUCGGAAUUACUGGGCGUAAAGCGCACGCAGGCGGUCUGUCAAGUCGGAUGUGAAAUCCCCGGGCUCAACCUGGGAACUGCAUUCGAAACCGGCAGGCUAGAGUCUUGUAGGGGGGGGUAGAAUUCCAGGUGUAGCGGUGAAAUGCGUAGAGAUCUGGAGGAAUACCGGUGGCGAAGGCGGCCCCCUGGACAAAGACUGACGCUCAGGUGCGAAAGCGUGGGGGGCAAACAGGAUUAGAUACCCUGGUAGUC
rnacentral:rRNA from 1 species